AUUGAACGCUAGCGGGAUGCUUUAUACAUGCAAGUCGAACGAGUGGCGGUCGGGUGCGUAUUAUAUCCGAAUGUGCCCAGUAGCGGGGGAUAACUACUCGAUAGUGUGGCCUAUACCUCAUCCCAUUGGCGCGUCUGAUUGCGGUUUAGCUCGUCGGUGCGGUAAAGGCUUACCAAGGCAACGAUCCGCAGCUGGUUUGAGAGGGCGACCAGCCACACUGGGACUGAGACACGGCCCAGACUCCGACGGGAGGCAGCAGUGGGGAAUUUUGGACAAUGGGGGAAACCCUGAUCCAGCCAUCCCGCGUGUAUGAGAAGGCCUUCGGGUUGUAAAGUACUUUUGGCAGAGAAGCGGUAUCUGCAGAAUAAGCACCGGCUAACUACGUGCCAGCAGCCGCGGUAAUUC
rnacentral:rRNA from 1 species